rnacentral:miRNA from 1 species
UCGCUCUUUUCAGGACCUUUGC